rnacentral:tRNA from 1 species
GCCUGCCUAGCUCAAAUGGAAAGAGCAUCAGACUCAAAUCGAAAAGUCCUGAUCAUUUCACAUCUGAAGGCUGCAAGUUCGAACCUUGCGGUGGGCA